rnacentral:rRNA from 1 species
AUUGAACGCUGGCGGCAUGCCUUACACAUGCAAGUCGAACGGUAACGCGGGGCAACCUGGCGACGAGUGGCGAACGGGUGAGUAAUGCAUCGGAACGUGCCCAGUUGUGGGGGAUAACUGCUCGAAAGAGCAGCUAAUACCGCAUACGACCUGAGGGUGAAAGCGGGGGAUCGCAAGACCUCGCGCAAUUGGAGCGGCCGAUGUCGGAUUAGCUAGUUGGUGGGGUAAAGGCCCACCAAGGCGACGAUCCGUAGCUGGUCUGAGAGGACGACCAGCCACACUGGGACUGAGACACGGCCCAGACUCCUACGGGAGGCAGCAGUGGGGAAUUUUGGACAAAGGACGCAAGUCUGAUCCAGCCAUGCCGCGUGCGGGAAGAAGGCCUUCGGGUUGUAAACCGCUUUUGUCAGGGAAGAAAUCUUCUGGGUUAAUACCUCGGGAGGAUGACGGUACCUGAAGAAUAAGCACCGGCUAACUACGUGCCAGCAGCCGCCGUAACAC